CUCCUAGUACGAGAGGACCAGAGUGGACGAACCUCUGGUGUUUCGGUUGUCACGCCAGUGGCAUUGCCGAGUAGCUAUGUUCGGAUGGGAUAACCGCUGAAAGCAUCUAAGCGGGAAGCCCACCUCAAGAUAAGAUUUCCCUAAGAGCCGUUGUAGACGACGACGUUGAUAGGUUGGGUGUGGAAGUGUAGUGAUACAUGUAGCUAACCAAUACUAAUUGCUCGUUUGGCUUGACCAUACAACACCCAAG
rnacentral:rRNA from 1 species